rnacentral:rRNA from 1 species
GUAUAAGAAAUAUAUAUGUGGUCUACGGCCUGAUCCUGUCUGAUCUCAGAAGCUAAGCAAAGUCGGGCCUGGUUAGUACUUGGAUGGGAGAACACCCAGGAAGACCAGGUGCUGUAGGCA